UUCUACGUUGUGUCGUUGAGGUUGUUACUGCGUUGUCACAAUGUUGCCAUUCAAUCACGGUUCAGGGCCAUUGCUGAAGGUUGUGCUUAGCCUGUCUGGACAACCACUGGACGACAUGUACUCGUCACUGUUCCGAAGCGCAUUUUAAAUUUUAACAGACCGUUGGGCCGUUAUUCUUCUUCAAGCCAGGAUACGCUGUUUUCGCAUUGAGAAUGGAAAACAAAAGACAAGUUGGCAGGAGAGAAUAUAUGAGACGCUGGAGAGCAGCCAACAAGAUUCUUUCUAAUUGUCACCAAAAUCAGGCCAAAAACAAAUAUAGUGAUAUUUGCGCUAGUCCUGUACUUCAAGAACCCUUACAACAUUGUUCAUCCUCUGCAAGAUCAGUUUCAGAGUGUAGCACAGCUUGUUCUUUAAGAGAGAGUGGAAAUAUAUCCUUAAACCAAGAGGACACAUUUAGCACAGAUGAAAG